UACGGAGGGUGCGAGCGUUGUCCGGAAUCACUGGGCGUAAAGGGCGCGUAGGUGGCCUGUGGAAGUCUGCGGUGAAAGCCCGGCGCUCAACGCCGGGUCUGCCGUGGAUACUCUCGGGCUCGAGCUUACUAGAGGCAGAUGGAAUUCCGGGUGUAGCGGUGGAAUGCGUAGAGAUCCGGAAGAACACCGGUGGCGAAGGCGGUCUGCUGGGGUAAUGCUGACACUGAUGCGCGACAGCGUGGGGAGCAAACAGG
rnacentral:rRNA from 1 species